rnacentral:tRNA from 1 species
GUCCUCAUAGUUCAAUGGAUAGAACCGCGGUUUCCUAAACCGUUAAUCUCAGUUCGAGUCUGGGUGGGGGCACCA